AAGCUUUCUAAGCGCCCCGAUCACUACUCGUCGGGUACGACUUCUUUGCCUUUUCCGGAAGGCUCUCCUCCUAGACACAUUACAAAAAUUUACACAAUUCAUCACAUUGAUGCUAAAUCACUAUAUAAUUAACUUAAAUCCUAUACUAAUGCAUGGUAUGAAAUGCAAUAGCCUAAAACGGCUUAAACGCGGUAUUAACCUAUUUUUGGCACUUUGCCCGAUAAAUUGCUAACGCGCUCCAUUUUAGCUCUAAAUCAUCCCAUUCUCUCUCCAACAUUUCUAACCAUUAAAUAUCAGCCAAUAACCUUCUAAAAACAACAAAAUCAGCUCACUCCCUUCCUUGGAAAAUUCGGCCAAAAAUGGGACAUUAACUCGGUUAAUUUUCUACUUUGUUUUUCUAUCACGUUUAAUCGUUUUUCAUCAUUUUCUCUUCAUUUUCCUUAGAAUAAAAUCAAUUCAUCAUCAUUGUACAGCAUUGAGCAUCCAGCCAAGAGUGGGUAUUGUGAAAAUUUAAUGAUUUCUUGCCCAAUUUAAUUUCUAAACACAUUUAACUAACUAAAACUAUCAAUUUAACUAAAAAUCAAAACCUAAAAAUUUCAAUUUCUCUCCCCUAGAAUUUCGUCCAGCCCUUGAUAUCACUUUUUGAUCUCUCUCCUCAAGCAUGCUAAAUGGAAAUAAAGGCAUAGGAAAGGUAGAAAUCAAGCUAAAAUCGAAAAAUCUUACCGUUAGACGCGUAAACGGUCGAAAACCGCGAAUUUCUCUUUGAAUUUUCUUGUUUCUCUUUGGUUUUUCUUUUCUUCUUCCUUUCCUCUCUAUUUCCUCUGUUUUUCUUCCUUAUGGCCGGCCAGCACUCAAAAUUUGGGUUUAAAUGGCUGACUUUUCAUUAAAAUAAUAUUAUUUCUUUAAAAAAUGCCACGUGUCACUUUCCCAUUGGCCCAUUUUUAAAAUUUCAUCCAUUUGUUUCCAAAUUUUCACCAUACACUUGUCUCAUAUAUUCAUAGCUUAGAUAAAAUUCUCAGACUCAUCCAAAGUCUCGGUGGAGUAAUUUUUGAAAUUUACACUUUUGCCCCCGUAAAAGUCAAAAAUUACAUUUUUGCCCCAAAAAUUGAAAAAUUGCCCAUAGACAUAUUUUUCAUCCCUUAUACUCAUACCAUUCUCCAAUUUGUCAAAUUUGAUCUAAAUUCUCUCAAAAUCUCAAAUUUUGUCCGUGGGUGGCAAAAUUACGAUUUUGCCCCUACACUCCAAAAAUCACCAGAAUUAAACUUUUUCACUUCCUAUCAUUAAAUUAUACUCCAAAUAGUUAAUCUUGGUCAAAAAUUUCACUCCAUGAUCAAAUUAUUAUCUUAGGUGGUAAAAUGACAAUUUUGCCCUUGAAUAUCAAAAUUUCUAAUUUUACCCCAAAUGAACCCUCGAACUCCGAACAAUCAUUUUUAGUCAUUCCUGGACUAUAAAAUAUUAAAUUUCAUCCUACAAUUCCUAUUUGAACUAGUUCGAGGUUAAAUCAAUUUAACUGUACCGUUAGGUACAAUAUCAGGUUUCGUCUAUUCUUAAGUGCUUUUCUAGCGUAAUAACAUGCUACUCAAUGCAUGUAUGUCAUGACAUGUAUUAUAGGGUCGGAUUUUACAUAUAAAGUUUUACCAACCUUAAUAAAAUCAAAUAAAUUGUUUCGAACUAAUUUUAAGUCAUAAAUGCUUAAAAAUCUGAAUUCAAAUCUUCUUUUCUUUUUUGUUUUCCUCUGCACUACAUAAAAAUCGUUUAUGUUUUUUUUAUUUUGUUUUUUGUAAACAAAUAUCUUUUAGCUUGUUUUUCUUUAUUUUGUUUUCUUUUUGUACACAACUUGCACACCUCUUUUCUUUUAUUUUUUAACCUUUGCAUACGGUUUACACGGUUUUCAACAUGUCUCCUAUUUUCUUUUUUCAUGAAUUAAUCAACACUUUUUUUCUCUCAAAUCAAAUAACUAUACAAAUUUGUUUAUUUUUUUAUAUUAUGUUUUCUCUUUGCACAUGAUUUGCAUGAUUUUCACAAUUUUUAAUAUUUUUUAUGUUUUUAUGAAUCGAUCAAACAAUUUUUUUCUCUUAAAACCAAAUAACUAUAUUAAUUUUUUUUUAUUUUUUCUUUCUUUUAUUUUGUUUUCCCUUUGCAAAUGAUUUGCACAGUUUUCAUGAUUUUUAAUAUUAUUUCUAUUUUUUUCGUGAAUCAAUCAAAUACUUUUUUUAUUUUGUUUUCCCUUCACACACAAUUUGCACGAUUUUCACCAUUUCUCCUAUUCUUUUUUUCUGUGAAUCAAUAAAAUAAUUUUUUUUCUCUCCAAACCAAAUAACUAUGCUAAAUUCUUUUUUCUUUCUAUUUACAAAGGAUUUGUACAAUUUUAUCAUUUCUCUUACUCUCUUUUAUGAUGAAUCAAUUAAAUAAUUUUCUCUUUUUUUAUUGUUUUUUAUUUUGCAUGCAUUGCAUAUUUAUUUUCUUAUCCAAUAUAUACUUGACAAUUCAUAGAUUACAACGUCAAUAACAACUUGACAAUUUUUUAAAAACUACUUCCUUAUGAUUCAUUAUGUGCAGCAAUGAUUCAUUAAUUGAAGCAUACAAACUAAAAAAAAACUCCUUAAUUUAUUUUCCAGUUCCACGUUUGGAAUUUUGAAAUUCUGAAGGUGAUUAUAUUUGUUGUUGUUGUAGUGCUCUAACACAUUCUUACAUAAUCGUAGAAUAUAGAUCUAGAGCACCCAUUAACAACCACUAUGUUUUCAGCACUUUGAACAGUUUUUUUAUACAGAUUCAUUUUCAUCAACUACAAGUUCUUCUUUAUCAUCCAAAAAUCUUGUAUCUUCAAAAUCAUAUGUAGCUCUAAAAAUUGAUGAUUUGGGUAACUUUCCAAGCCAUUCAAAUAUGCAAGUCUACUUAAAUACUUUCCACUUCUUGGGCUAAAACACCUUUCCAAAUCAAUAUAACAAAGAAACUCUUUUCCUACAAGUUCAUUGAACUUCUCAAUGAACUUGACCCUCUCUUGACUGUUCUAAAAGUAUGUGCAUCGAUAAGCCAGCAAAUCAGAACUUUGACCAAAUUAUGUUAAAAAAACAUAUGAAGGCAUGGAAUCACUUCUUUAGACAAUUUAAGAGUUUCCAUAUUACUAACAUCUCGUAAUCCCAAUGGAAAGCCAAUCAGUAUAGAUAUGAUUUCUCUUAAGUCCUCAAGAUCUUUUUCUAUACUACUUGUCUUAUUGGCCAUAGGAAACAACUUGCCUUUCAAUGUUUUAUCAUCCUUGCAAGAUAUUAAGAUCACCUCUCCAUCUCUCAAAUUUCCAAAAGGGAUAUUAUCAUCUUAAAAGACUCACAAUUCAUGUAUUACACACUUGAAUAUUUCUUGAAAACCGUCCUCAAUCAAUAUCUUCCAAGAUGUAAUAUCAUGUUGUAAAAAGACUUAAACUCCACCAACUUAUUAUUCAACCAAGAUGAUAAAUACAUAAAAUCACCUUCCACAACAAUUAAAUUCUUAUCCAUAACAACUUGAGAAUCAUCAAAACAUUUUAUCUUCACAAUAUAAGAAGAAGGAAAAUUCCUCAAAGAUAUUAACCGUGUUCACAGCAACAAUAUAAUCAACAAUUAGAACCAAAAUGUAGUCUUCCAUUUUAUAACAUGAAUUUGUUGAAAAAUUACAAGACAUGUGACAUAAAACGCCUUCUUUCAAGUUUUCAGCCAAUGAAAAGCUAAAAUACUUUUCCAUUUUCGAUGGUGUAGUAGCCAUUUGCUCUAACCCCACUGGUGAUGUAGUAACUGUCGAAAUGAGCUUUGCAACCAAUUAAGAUUGGUUAAGGCUUGGUUCCAAUCAUGCAAUAAUAUCAUUCAAUUGAAUUAUUAAAGGUUUUAUUUCAUUAAUAAGGCAUCAAUUAUAAUAUGUUAUAAGUCUAAUUGGAUGAAAUCUAUGAGAUUAAUAUGCCAUACAAGGGAAUUACAAUGGGUUGCAACUAUGAAAUCCUCAAGCAUCAAAGCAUAAUCUCUAAAUUUUCUUGGUUGAUUAUCAUUAAGACUAAACAUCAAUGAUGCCUAAAGACUAGUACAUUCUAUGUUCUUUACUUAAGAAGUAAGCAACCGAUCUCAUAAGUUGAAGUAUAGAGAUACUUGAAACUAGAAUGUAGGUAUUUGCCACGGAGAGAAAGUUCACUAAACAUAACCUAAUAUCAGAGGUGCAUUCAGCAUCUCACUCUAGUGUCUAUGCAAUACUUCUAUUGUGUCAGUCAUAUAAAAACUCAUUAGACUUCAGACGUCAAGUUGUCUUAUAUAAAGAGUGCUAUAUAUUUGAUUAUAUCUCUAUGGGUCAUAUUAAGUGUUGGGUGAAGGUUGAUGUCACGGCCCGAAAUUCCCAUCAAGCCCGUGACAAUCACCGCGAUGUCUCGAUUGACAUUCAUUACUCGAAAUGCCAACCAAAACCUCGCAAGGCUUUCGCAUCAGUUUUACUUCUCCCCUGUGAGCAACAAUUAUUAAAUACCAUGUUUUAAAGAAAUAUAGACUAUUUUCAAAUCAAAAAAAAUGAAAAAUUAAUUUCUACUACAUAGGGGUAUUUUGGUCAUUUUACUCAAAAUUUUUGAACCUUAGUAAAAAUAUGAUAUAUGAGUAAUAAGCAUCCAUUUCAUGUUUAAAAAUAAGUUUUGUUGUCUAAUUCAUCAAUUUAAAGUGAAAUUAUAACAAUUCAAAUUAAAUAAAAUAUUUCGUUUUCUUAUAAAACAAUAUUUAUAGAACUAUACGUAAAUAAUUUUUGUAGCGUAAAAGCAAAAUAAAUUCAUAUAUAUAAUAGCACACUAAACCAGGUAUACAAAAAUAUUCUACAAUGACAUGUGGGCCCUCAAAAUAACAAAAUAAACAAGACUAUAGACUUGCGAUUUCUAAGGGUGCAAAUCUAAAAGCAAACCCUCGACAUAAUCAGCGGUCUACAAACUACCCUAAGCCUGAAAUGGGUGAAAAGAAGGGGUGAGUUUUUAUAAACCCAGUGAGUAAGCAAAGUUCAUCUACAAUAUCUAAAGCCGAGUAAAUGGAGACAGUUAAAUCAUCCCAUCAUAAUAUGAUUCAUAACAUUUAAAACUCAUUUCAAUACAUAUAAAACAAUUACAUUUCAUCGAAAUAAUCAACAAGGCUUAUGACUUUCUUAAAAACUUGGCUCGUGCCAAAAAUUAGUACUCGAUGAUGCCUUGCGUCGGUCAUCCAACUGAGUCUGCCAAGGCAGUUAAAAAGACAUAUACACAUAAAACAUGUUUUCACGUUUAGAAACAUAACCGUUCCUUGGCGUUGGCUGAGUUUCACUUUCACAUGGCGGUUCAACGUGAAGUGAACUCUAAACUUUACCUUAGGAGAUACCCUCUGCGCCUCUCAUACUAAGGUAAAAUAUAACGGGGUUUACCGUGCCCCUCUAAUAGGCUAGUCCACAGAAACUCGCCCACUGCAGUAAGCUAAAUACAUAACCCACCAAAUCAAUAAAAUUUCAGCAGCAUAACAUGGCUAAAAUAGUACUAUCCAACCUGUCAAUGUAAGACAAAACAAUUUAUAUAAUUCACAAAAUCACAAUUUCAGCCAUUCACGCUACCACAAUUUCAUAAGCCAUCAAUUCAAAUGAUGUAUAUAUAUAUAAUACGAAUGUAUAGCCUCCACUUACUCUAUUUCGAAAAUCAACAUUUAGUUUCAGAAUAAUUUAUAAAUCUCAUUUAUUUAACCAACAUUUAAAAUGUAAAACAUAAUAAUUUGCAAAUUAAGUGCCUUAUUCUUUAAAAUCUUAAAACAAGUAUAAACUACUUUAGAUAAUUAAGAUGAACAUCUAAUUACUCACUAUAAUGGGAAUUUGGAGUGGUAGGAGUACUUCUAUUCUCGGUCCUCCGGCAUUAUAUCUUUGCCCUUAUCGAGUGGUUCAGCACUUAUCCAUAAUACACAAUACGUAAUUCAAUACAUUGGUGUCAAAUUAUUAUAAAACUAUUUCAGACUCUAUAUGAAUGCAUGAAGUUGAAUGAGAAAUGUUCAGAUAGUCACUUAAAGACGGUGUUCUACGCAGGUUCAAUUGUGAUCGGAAGGAAUUUAUAUUCGAUCUAAUUCGAACUAUACACCAUUAAUUUAACCAAAACAUCCGAUGCAACUCCAAAUAUAUUCAUUACACUUCUAAUAAUCUAAUACACCAAAGCAUUACAAUGAACUUGAUUUUUGACUAACUUCACCAUGUUUCGAAAUUCAUUCGGAUUCCGAACUAACAUACUAAUCAAUGUUUACACAGUCUCGUAAAUCCAUAUAUAUCAUUAGGAAUCAAAUCCAAAUCCAUUUACUAUGAUUUUCUCAGUUUCCAUCAAGCCAUUUUCUAAAGGAACUAUACUUUUCAAUAACCGGUUUCGAUAUCCAACAUCAUAAUUCAUCAAUUCCUAGCUAAAUAACAUGAAUUACAACCAAAUCCAUCACCAACAUGCCCUAUAGAAAAUUCGGCCAAAUGUGGGUGGUUGAAGAACAUGUGAUUUUCUUGCUUGUUUUUCCUUCCAAACAUCACAAAAUGACUAAAAACACUAGGAUAUUAUGAAAUAUAGUAAAAUUCAUCACCAAAACUUCUCUCUCUAGAUUUGGCUAGCAAAGGUUCCCUCUUAAAAACCUGAAUUUUAGCCAUGGAGAAUGAAAAAGAAUGCAUGGGAAAGGUAGAUCACAAGCUAAAAUUAAAAAAUCUUACCUUUACUUGCUUGAUUCCUUGAAAUCCAACAAUUU
rnacentral:lncRNA from 1 species